GACGUAGGGCGCGAGCGUUGUCCGGAAUUAUUGGGCGUAAAGAGCUCGUAGGCGGUCUGUCGCGUCUGCUGUGAAAACUCAGGGCUUAACCCUGAGCUUGCAGUGGGUACGGGCAGACUAGAGUGCGGUAGGGGAGACUGGAAUUCCUGGUGUAGCGGUGAAAUGCGCAGAUAUCAGGAGGAACACCGGUGGCGAAGGCGGGUCUCUGGGCCGUAACUGACGCUGGAGGAGCGAAAAGCAUGGGGAGCGAACAGG
rnacentral:rRNA from 1 species